rnacentral:rRNA from 1 species
ACCCGUAAUCCGGGUUGCGGACAGUGUCUGGUGGGUAGUUUGACUGGGGCGGUCUCCUCCUAAAGAGUAACGGAGGAGCACGAAGGUUGGCUAAUCCUGGUCGGACAUCAGGAGGUUAGUGCAAUGGCAUAAGCCAGCUUGACUGCGAGCGUGACGGCGCGAGCAGGUGCGAAAGCAGGUCAUAGUGAUCCGGUGGUUCUGAAUGGAAGGGCCAUCGCUCAACGGAUAAAAGGUACUCCGGGGAUAACAGGCUGAUACCGCCCAAGAGUUCAUAUCGACGGCGGUGUUUGGCACCUCGAUGUCGGCUCAUCACAUCCUGGGGCUGAAGUAGGUCCCAAGGGUAUGGCUGUUCGCCAUUUAAAGUGGUACGCGAGCUGGGUUUAGAACGUCGUGAGACAGUUCGGUCCCUAUCUGCCGUGGGCGCUGGAGAACUGAGGGGGGCUGCUCCUAGUACGAGAGGACCGGAGUGGACGCAUCACUGGUGUUCGGGUUGUCAUGCCAAUGGCACUGCCCGGUAGCUAAAUGCGGAAGAGAUAAGUGCUGAAAGCAUCUAAGCACGAAACUUGCCCCGAGAUGA